AAGGGUAUAGCUCAGUGGCAGAGCACAUGCUUAGCAUGCAUGAGGUCCUGAGUUCAAGCCCCAGUACCUCUA
rnacentral:tRNA from 1 species